UGGGGAAUAUUGCACAAUGGGCGCAAGCCUGAUGCAGCCAUGCCGCGUGUAUGAAGAAGGCCUUCGGGUUGUAAAGUACUUUCAGUCGGGAGGAAGGUGGUAAGGUUAAUAACCUUAUCAAUUGACGUUACCGACAGAAGAAGCACCGGCUAACUCCGUACCAGCAGCCGCGGUAAUACGGAGGGUGCAAGCGUUAAUCGGAAUUACUGGGCGUAAAGCGCACGCAGGCGGUUGAUUGAGUCAGAUGUGAAAUCCCCGGGCUUAACCCGGGAAUUGCAUCUGAUACUGGUCAGCUAGAGUCUUGUAGAGGGGGGUAGAAUUCCAUGUGUAGCGGUGAAAUGCGUAGAGAUGUGGAGGAAUACCGGUGGCGAAGGCGGCCCCCUGGACAAAGACUGACGCUCAGGUGCGAAAGCGUGGGGAGCAAACAGG
rnacentral:rRNA from 1 species